UACAGAGGGGGCAAGCGUUGUUCGGAAUUACUGGGCGUAAAGGGCGCGUAGGCGGCACUGUUAGUCAGGCGUGAAAGUCCUGGGCUCAACCUGGGAACUGCGCUUGAUACGGCAGAGCUAGAGGAUGGAAGAGGGUCGCGGAAUUCCCAGUGUAGAGGUGAAAUUCGUAGAUAUUGGGAAGGAACACCGGGUGGCGAAGGCGGCGACCUGGUCCAUUACUGACGCUGAGGCGCGACAGCGUGGGGGAGCAAACAGG
rnacentral:rRNA from 1 species